rnacentral:lncRNA from 10 species
AGAGGAAAUGACUGAGCUAUAAUUUUUCUCAGUUUCCCAUGAUGUUAAUAUAUAUCUACAAUUUUGGUAAUGAAUGUAUGAAUUCAGACAUAUUCUGAAAUCCGAGUCUGGGUGGCAAAAUUUUGGCAAUAAUUUGAGACUGUCAAACUUGUGAAAGUAUGUUGCUUUGGUAAAAGUGUUGAACUAGAAAGUUAAAGAUUCUAUCAUUGAUGUAAACCCCACAGUACAAAUGACAGACCUCAAGUGAUAUAGCCCACAGUCUAGUAGAAUAAGUUAGUCAAUCACAUGUCGGCGUGCAUUUGCAUUGGUUUUAUUUUAGAUUGAGGAACAUGUGCAUGUUUGUCACAUGGGUAUACUGCAUGCUGGCGGGCACAGGGCUUGUAGUGUGCCCAUUACCCAAAUAGUGAACAUUGUAACUGACAGCUAAUUUUUCAACACUCACUCCCCUCCCAACCUCCCAACUUUUGGAGCUCCCAGUGUCUAUUAUUUCCAUCUCUAUGUCCAUGUGUACCCAUUGUUGUUAGCUCCCAUUUAUAAUCAAGAACAAGCAGUGUUUGAUUUUCUCUUUCUGAGUUAGUUCACUUAGCAUAGUGGCCUCCAGCUGCAUCCAUGUUGUUGCAAAGGAUGUGAUUUCAUUCUUUUUUAUGGCUGCUGAUUAAGAUGGAUCAAAGGCUUACACCAAUCUGUAACUGGGCACUUGUGUAUAAAUAGUCAAUUUUCCGUUGACUGCUUUGGGAAGAGCAGGAGAAGUGACAGGGAAGGGGCCCCCAGGAGAGGGUGCCAGACAAGAAUGCAGAGCAGAGAAAGCCACGCAUGCAGCAGGGCAGAGUGAGCACACGCAGCUCACACGGCGUGAACGCGCAGCAGAGCAGAGGGAGCGCCCGCAGCUCACACGGCGUGAACGCGCAGCGGAGCAGAGUGAGCGCGUGCAGCUCCCACGGCGUGAACGCGCAGUGAGUGGGGAAGGCUUGCAGAGGCAGCUCCUUUUGGGCCUUGGGGAGCAUGUGACAGAUGAUGACCUUUUAUCUCAAGACCACAAGACAGUCAGAGAAAGGAGCCACACAGCCAGCUGUUAUCCUGGUUGCUGUGGGGAGUGGUCCAGGAUAGUGCUAGUAAGAGUGAUAAUGGUACAGAGGCUGCUGUGGUGUCCAGAUGAGAGAUGGACAGCUAACAAGCUCUCCCUAUUAUGUCAAUAAGGACCACGAGGCCACCCUUAAAGAAACUGGAAAAUGCUUUGCUUUGUUAUUUUAAAUAUUUUCAUUUAUACUCUGCAAUGUAAAUAUAUUAAUAUUUUCAUUAAAAAUACCCCACAGUUAUAUAAAGAGUGAAAAUUCCACUAACCACUCACAUACAGCCCCACUACUCUCCCCAGAACCAAAUAGGCCCAUAGCUGGCUUCUCCAGCCACCGUGCCACAGGCUGCUGGCAGCCUGGCCCCCUCUCCCUUCUCCACACUGUUGGCAACGGCUUCCCUCAGUUCUCCAGCACAGGUUACAUCUCUCUCAGCUAGCCUGAGUAUUCUUUUUCAGAGCAACCUGAUUAUUUUGUUCUAGAAAAAGCACAACCUGUAAUUAUUUGUUCACUUGAGUAUAAUCUGACUCCUCCAUUAUAAUAAACCCUCUGAGGCAGCAACGUGGUCUCAGUGUUUCUGCCCCAGUGCUUGAAACAAACAUGAUGUAAGGGAGAAGCGCAGUAAAGGGCUGACAGCUUCUACUGGGCAAGCUUUGGGGUGCAAAUAUUCACAUUUUUUUUCUCUCCACACGCGAGGUCUUUCCCUCUCUCUCUAGUUGACCCUCAUUAUUCAUGGAUUUCUUAUUUGUGAAUCUACCUACUCACCAACAUUUAUUGGUAACCCUCAAAUCAACCCUCUCAAGUGCACAGAGAAGUGAAAAGUUUGUGUCUUCAGAGCACAUGCCCCCAGCUGCAUGAGGUGAAAGUUUGUCUUCAGAGCACAUGCUUCCAGCUGAAUGAGGCGAAAGUUUGUCUUCAGAGCACAUGCUCCAAGAUGAAUGAGGUGAAAGUUUGUCUUCAGAGCACAUGCUUCCAGCUGAAUGAGUGAAAGUUUGUCUUCAGAGCACAUGCUUCCAGCUGAAUGAGGCGAAAGUUUGUCUUCAGAGCACAUGCUCCAAGAUGAAUGAGGUGAAAGUUUGUCUUCAGAGCACAUGCUUCCAGCUGAAUGAGUGAAAGUUUGUCUUCAGAGCACAUGCUUCCAGCUGAAUGAGUGAAAGUUUGUCUUCAGUGCACAUGCUCCCAGCUGAAUGAGGCGAAAGUUUGUCUUCAGUGCACAUGCUCCCAGAUGAAUGAGUGAAAGUUUGUCUUCAGAGCACAUGCUUCCAGCUGAAUGAGGUGAAAGUUUGUCUUCAGUGCACAUGCUUCCAGCUGAAUGAGUGAAAGUUUGUCUUCAGUGCACAUGCUCCAAGAUGAAUGAGGUGAAAGUUUGUCUUCAGUGCACAUGCUUCCAGCUGAAUGAGUAAAAGUUUGUCUUCAGAGCACAUGCUCCCAGCUGAAUGAGUGAAAGUUUGUCUUCAGUGCACAUGCUCCCAGCUGAAUGAGUGAAAGUUUGUCUUCAGUGCACAUGCUCCCAGCUGAAUGAGGCGAAAGUUUGUCUUCAGAGCACAUGCUCCCAGAUGAAUGAGGCGAAAGUUUGUCUUCAGAGCACAUGCUCCCAGAUGAAUGAGGCGAAAGUUUGUCUUCAGAGCACAUGCUUCCAGCUGAAUGAGUGAAAGUUUGUCUUCAGUGCACAUGCUUCCAGCUGAAUGAGUGAAAGUUUGUCUUCAGAGCACAUGCUUCCAGCUGAAUGAGUGAAAGUUUGUCUUCAGAGCACAUGCUUCCAGCUGAAUGAGUGAAAGUUUGUCUUCAGUGCACAUGCUCCCAGAUGAAUGAGGCGAAAGUUUGUCUUCAGUGCACAUGCUUCCAGCUGAAUGAGUGAAAGUUUGUCUUCAGAGCACAUGCUCCCAGCUGAAUGAGUGAAAGUUUGUCUUCAGUGCACAUGCUCCCAGAUGAAUGAGGCGAAAGUUUGUCUUCAGUGCACAUGCUCCCAGCUGAAUGAGUGAAAGUUUGUCUUCAGUGCACAUGCUCCCAGCUGAAUGAGUGAAAGUUUGUCUUCAGUGCACAUGCUCCCAGCUGAAUGAGGGGAAAGUUUGUCUUCAGAGCACAUGCUUCCAGCUGAAUGAGUGAAAGUUUGUCUUCAGAGCACAUGCUUCCAGCUGAAUGAGUGAAAGUUUGUCUUCAGAGCACAUGCUUCCAGCUGAAUGAGUGAGUUUGUCUUCAGAGCACAUGCUUCCAGCUGAAUGAGUGAAAGUUUGUCUUCAGAGCACAUGCUUCCAGCUGAAUGAGUGAAAGUUUGUCUUCAGAGCACAUGCUCCCAGCUGAAUGAGUGAAAGUUUGUCUUCAGUGCACAUGCUCCCAGAUGAAUGAGGCGAAAGUUUGUCUUCAGUGCACAUGCUUCCAGCUGAAUGAGUGAAAGUUUGUCUUCAGAGCACAUGCUCCCAGCUGAAUGAGUGAAAGUUUGUCUUCAGUGCACAUGUUCCCAGAUGAAUGAGGCGAAAGUUUGUCUUCAGAGCACAUGCUCCCAGCUGAAUGAGUGAAAGUUUGUCUUCAGUGCACAUGCUUCCAGCUGAAUGAGUGAAAGUUUGUCUUCAGUGCACAUGCUCCCAGCUGAAUGAGGGGAAAGUUUGUCUUCAGAGCACAUGCUUCCAGCUGAAUGAGUGAAAGUUUAUCUCCAGUGCACAUGCUCCAAGAUGAAUGAGGUGAAAGUUUGUCUUCAGUGCACAUGCUUCCAGUUGAAUGAGUGAAAGUUUGUCUUCAGAGCACAUGCUUCCAGCUGAAUGAGUGAAAGUUUGUCUUCAGUGCACAUGCUCCCAGCUGAAUGAGGCGAAAGUUUGUCUUCAGUGCACAUGCUCCCAGCUGAAUGAGGUGAUGCUCGGCCUUCUGGUUUUAACUCAUACUGUAAGCAACUGUUUUCUUUUCACAGUUUAUUUUUUAUUUUUUAUUUUAUUUUAUUUUUUGAGACGGAGUCUCGCUCUUUGGCCCAGGCCAGAGUGCAGUGGCGCAGUCUUGCCUCACCGCAAGCUCCGCCUCCCGGCAUGAACCCUCAGCCUCCCUUGUAGCUGGGACUACAUUCACAGUUUAUUUAGUGCCACUUUUUUCGCCGCAUUUUUAUGCUUUUUGUUGGUGAUUUCACUGUUUAAAAUAGCCUCAAGCACAGUGCGGAAGUGCUGCUUAGCGUUCCUGAGAGCAAGAAGGCUGUGAGGUGCCUUUCGGAGAAAACACGCAUUAGAUAAGCUUCAUUCAGACAUGAGUUACAGUGCCGUUGGUCAUGUUACUUACUCUACAAUAUAUACUAAGUAAGGUGUCUUUAAACAGAAACAUACAUAAAACAAGGUUGUAUAUUGAUGGGGUGAUGCUGUGUCCUGAGGCUCACGGGAACCUAACGCGGUCUUUCCUCCAUGAGCGAUGGUUCACUGUUCACUAAUUCAAUGUUCGUGCUGAAAAAGAAAAAUGACAUCCUAAGCCCCUGAGCUGACUGAAUGGACUCCUUGUUGGCCAAGGGGGCGCCAGAGAAAUUUUAAAAGCUGAGUUCCUGGCCAUGAUGGAAUGGGGAGUUUGGACACGCCUUGUUAUACCCCCUCCCUCGCUAAUCGCCAUUAGACUUCCUUACGCGAGGGUCAAUCAGAAGCCACAGCCCUUUCCAAAGACUUGCCAGACUCCCCUUCCGUGGUUUUGACACAGUGACGAACCGGCAUUCCUUCCUGAUAAGAGACCACCGACCGUGGACUGCUUCUGGCCGGUGUACAGUGGCUGCACACGGGAUGCCUCUGCGCCCUCCAUUUCAUCUUCUACAUACAGACCUAAUUUUAGUGCAUUUAAACGUUAAGUGCUCACCCCAGAUUGAAUGUGGACGGACAUGCAUGCAUGUUUGCUCUCUAUGCAUGCAUCCAUCCAUCAUGAAUAACCUGUUAGAUACAUGUACUUAGCCAACCCAUUUGGCAUAAAUCCCUGUUCCAGCCUUUCCGCCCUCAAAGUGCCUGCUUUUGGUUUCUGCUUCCUAGCCUGCAAGAUGGCCAGCCUGCAGGGUGCAAUCCUUUGUCAGAAAUAAAGCUCUCCUCUCCAAAUGUAUGAACCUCGUGAUUCUUCAGUUGACAGCAGUGACUUUACAAAACACAGCUACUAUAAGUAAUGAGCAUACUUGUUUAUUUUGCUCAAACUUGCCUUCCCCUUACUAACAGUUGAGGAGGAGGUUGGAAAAUAAAUGUGUAUGUGUAUGUUUGUGUAUAUAUUUGUAUCUUGUCUGUCUUCUAUGAAUUGCCUGUGGUUUUUUUUUUUGCCCAUUUUUCUGUUGAGUUGUCUUUUUCUUGUCAGUUUGAAUAAUUCAUUUAUAUAUUAUUCAUAUUAAUUUUUAACCUCUUAAAUACUUUGCAAAUAUUUUAUUCAAGUAGACACCUUAAAAGAAACUUCAUUUAUGUGGGCUUUUCUCAUAGGGUGGUUUUAAGUGUGUAUGUGAUGAAGUUUGCCAGUAUUUUCCUUUGUUACUCCUGG